rnacentral:rRNA from 1 species
CUGGAGGAAGGUGGGGAUGACGUCAAGUCAUCAUGGCCCUUACGACCAGGGCUACACACGUGCUACAAUGGCGCAUACAAAGAGAAGCGACCUCGCGAGAGCAAGCGGACCUCAUAAAGUGCGUCGUAGUCCGGAUUGGAGUCUGCAACUCGACUCCAUGAAGUCGGAAUCGCUAGUAAUCGUGGAUCAGAAUGCCACGGUGAAUACGUUCCCGGGCCUUGUACACACCGCCCGUCACACCAUGGGAGUGGGUUGCAAAAGAAGUAGGUAGCUUAACCUUCGGGAGGGCGCUUACCACUUUGUGAUUCAUGACUGGGGUGAAGUCGUAACAAGGUAACCGUAGGGGAAC